rnacentral:rRNA from 1 species
GUAGGGAAUAUUGGGCAAUGGAGGCAACUCUGACCCAGCCAUGCCGUGUGCAGGAUGACGGCCCUCUGGGUUGUAAACUGCUUUUAUACGGGAAGAAAAAAUACUACGUGUAGUAUACUGACGGUACCGUAAGAAUAAGGAUCGGCUAACUCCGUGCCAGCAGCCGCGGUAAUACGGAGGAUCCAAGCGUUGUCCGGAUUUAUUGGGUUUAAAGGGUGCGUAGGCGGAUCUUUAAGUCAGUGGUGAAAGCCUGCAGCUUAACUGUAGAAUUGCCAUUGAAACUGAAGAUCUUGAAUGUGGUUAAAGUAGGCGGAAUGUAUCAUGUAGCGGUGAAAUGCUUAGAUAUGAUACAGAACACCGAUAGCGAAGGCAGCUUGCUGAACCAUUAUUGACGCUGAGGCACGAAAGCGUGGGGAGCGAACAGGAUUAGAAACCCCUGUAGUCC